CCUCCAACUCUUUAUAUUUGUUGUCAACUGUCCCCCCUCCCCCAUUAUUCGUGUUCAUUAUAUUUUUUUAACCAAUCAUUUUCACGACAAUAUUUUCGUAUUCAAGAAAAACGAAUAUAUAACAAAUUGGAGAAAAUUGUAAAUAUUCACCUUGUUUUCCCCCGAAUUUUUGACAUCAUUUUUGGAUUUGUACCUUGCGGAAUUUCAUCAUUAAAAACAAUGGCCAGGUCAGUAAUUUAUCUUUUUACUUAAGACGACAAUAUUAGCCUUCCUGUUUUACAAUAAUUAAAAUUAGUUUAAUUCGAAUAUUUUAGCAACUGCAUUUGCAACCAAAAAAUUCUACUCGUUGAAUUGCUGGAGAGAGCACUAACGCUCGUGGACGAAUGUCCAUGCUCACACAGUAGAAGAUGGGCAAACGCCUCCACCCCUGUAAUAGCUACACCCGUGAAUGGCGGCAAGGGAUUAAAAGAAACCCCAAUGGCGCCAAAAAGAAAUUGUCUACCGAGACGACUCUUGACGGGGGG